rnacentral:rRNA from 1 species
UACGUAGGGGGCGAGCGUUAUCCGGAAUUAUUGGGCGUAAAGAGUGCGUAGGUGGUUGUUUAAGCGUGGGGUGAAAGGCAAUGGCUUAACCAUUGUGAGCCUCGCGAACUGGGCGACUUGAGUGCAGGAGAGGAAAGCGGAAUUCCUAGUGUAGCGGUGAAAUGCGUAGAUAUUAGGAGGAACACCGGUGGCGAAGGCGGCUGUCUGGCUGAGAACUGACGCUGAUGCGCGAAAGCGUGGGGAGCAAACAGGAUUAGAUACCCCGGUAGUCCCU